AGCAGUAGCCGCGGGAAUACAGAGGGUGCGAGCGUUAAUCGGAUUUACUGGGCGUAAAGCGUGCGUAGGCGGCUUUUUAAGUCGGAUGUGAAAUCCCUGAGCUUAACUUAGGAAUUGCAUUCGAUACUGGGAAGCUAGAGUAUGGGAGAGGAUGGUAGAAUUCCAGGUGUAGCGGUGAAAUGCGUAGAGAUCUGGAGGAAUACCGAUGGCGAAGGCAGCCAUCUGGCCUAAUACUGACGCUGAGGUACGAAAGCAUGGGGAGCAAACAGGAUUAGAGACCCCAGUAGUCCCUGUCUCUUAUAU
rnacentral:rRNA from 1 species